UAAAUCCUGAGAUGCUCGUAUUCUCUUGUUCUUUUUUGAGCCAACACCUUUUGAUAGGGAGCCUAACCGUUAUUUAUAGGAUUACAAGCCUUGUUAGAUUAAGAGGACGUAAAAGCAUAAAUACAUGGCACCCACCUGCUUCGCAGGUUCAAAAACCAUAGACCUACGGCAUAUUCGGGAUUUAU
rnacentral:other from 1 species